CCCUGCCCACUGCUGGUCUCAGUGGAAGACCACCUCUGCCUGGUAGAGGAGGAAAAUCUCUGCUUCAAGCCUCAUCGCGUGAUGUCGGGAAGAUUCAAACCCCUAGUCUCCAGACUUCUGCGGCCACUAAUGAUACCGUUAUUGUGCAUCAGGACCACUGGUCUUACGUGUACCCACCAUCCCCUACAAGGU